AGAGGCUCGUUCAGUGCGACCUGGUGCACCUUUCUUCCUUAGAAAUUUUGAGACUAAGGAAAAAAAGGAUGAAGAACCGGAGGAGCUCGGAGCAAAAGUCCAGGAAGAAGCCGGCGAGGCGAAGCUCAGGAUCGUCCUGACGAGAGGUUGGGUUCGUCGUUCCUUGCCGAUUGGUAGCUGAAUAGGAGGAGGGGAGUGGCUGCUGUGUCUUAUGGAAAUUGCGACUGGUUUCGCUCUAUGCAAAUGCGCCGUCACCUGAACGCUGAUCUUCCCCUGACCUCCCCCUCUAUCACACUUGUCGAAAACUCCUAAUUAUCAUUGCUUUUAAUACGUCUGCCUUGACGCUAGCCGAUCCGGUUAUUAAUAUCCGCUCGCUUCGGAAGCAACAGCCCGCAAGGUUCGUGGUAACGCUCGUGGAAAAUUGAAAUGCAGAUCAGGAUGCAUUGACGUCGAGGAUGAGGAUGAGGGCGAGGAGGAGCGCUGCCUCCGACACGAAGACGCCUACUCGGAUGAUCUGGCACGGCGUCGUCUCCGUAAUGACUGAAUGGAACAGCGAGUCUUUGCGCCAGAGUCUGCAUUGUCUGGUUAACACUGCUCGUUUAAAUGAUCGAAACGGGUGUUGCGUCACGAGGAGUCAAAUUAAAAGUGUACGUAUGAGUCAGCGCCGUCGGCAGUGACUCUCCGGCAGGACCGCCGGAGCGGCUUCUUACAGCUGGAACGAUAGCACGCUGGGCAGAUGAUGGAAUCAAUUCGGACUGCAGCCGACUACCGACUACCGACUACCGAGUCCCGAGCGAGUUGGUGGCAUAGCGCGUGGAAAGAGACGGUGCCGCCAGCACGUGAAUAUGGCGUCACGAUUUGUCCCUGGUGGUUUAUCAGGGAUUUACAAUUGAGACGCUAUCGCCACGUUUAAACAGCUACUCGUUAAAUAGCUCGGUAGGCCUAUUGUUUGGCCGAACCCUGCGCGCCGCCGUUCGACCUGCUUCGACUCGAGGAAAAUACCAAGGAGAGCCCCGGGAGAGCCAGGAGAGCCAGGAGAGUCCUAUCGGGCUCUGACUACUUACUGUCAAUGCCAAUGAAUAAUGAAUCUACGGAAGAGGCCGCAGGUGACAUCGAUUGGAGGACUGUGGACCUUACGUAACAUGCAUCGCCAAACUGGCACCCUGUACUCUAAACUUUUGGCUCUUCCGUAAUUCGCAGGUUCGCAUGACGUACUUGUGCCGAUGCUACUCACCAUAUUCUCCUGUGCACGUCCCGGGUCUGGCCUACCUGCGUUUGGCACCAGAUGCCUGCAUACCUCAGCAGCAGCAACCUGCUGCCUGCUGCCUGCUACCUGCUGCGAAGACUCCAAGGCUGCGGCGUGUUAUCUUUUGUCAUGAGCAUGACUUCACAGUAUACGAGUUACAAUUCUUCAGCUACAAAGUGUGCUGGUUACAUCAACUCGAUUGGAGGAUUGUCACGUGGAGGCAGGAUGACCACGUAGGAUUUUUUGACAAUUCUUUCCCGCGGAAUUCCAUGCUCGACACGGACUUUUGCUGAUCUGCCACGAAGUUCGCGUGCUCCAAGGCCAUCGCGUGCCGCUCGACGAGGAAGAUUGCGACCGAGCGGAAAAGCUGAUGUUUCGCUAGAAAAACCGCAGGUUCACCGGUAUUGCUCAAGAGCUCAAGAUUUAUUUCUUCGACUCUAAAUGAACGAGACGCGCAGGGAACCAUAGGAAGAGGAAUGACGUCCAUUGGACGAAGUUAUAACUGAGAAACUUUGAGCCAACUGGUCUCACGUAAUCGUCCAAGAUUAUCUUACAGCAGAGGUACGGAUAUUCUGGGAAUUUCGAACGGAAACCGACCUGGCGGUGACAUCGACGUCCAAACGGAACUGUUUGCUUUUUCGAGUCUUCGGCUUCGUCGACUCGUCCCAUAUUAUUCCACGGUACCCGAAGAAGCAGGAGAGAGAAGAGACAGCAGGAGCAGGAUAGACUGGGCCGAAUCGAUCAGUUGGAGAUUUGGCUGGACGCCCAAAGCGAAACCCGUACUUCCGGAGAUUCUACGAGGACAAAGCCGGAGUUUCGUGAUUGAAAUUUAUUUAAUCGAUAGUCGAACUCCCGUCGAUGAGACGCGACGAUAAAUGUGUUUGCGUCUCGUUCAGCCGCCAUUAUUACGAAGGAAGGACGUUGCUCGAGCGAUACUAAUUUUCUGAUUCCGAUAUUAUUUACAUACGGCGAUAGAACAUACGGAGCGAGGUACGAUGUAUGUUGAGCGCCAAGAUAGACGAGGCGUUCAGAUCGUAUCGAACCGGUUACGUCAGUGAUGGUUAUAUAUUUGAUUAUAUGUAUACAUGUAAACGUACGAUUAUUUUGCGAUAGGACGAAUCGCUAAUUAAUCAUUGAUCUAUACAAAUCUGUUAAAAAAGUUUUAAAAUUAUAACGUUUACGUGAAC